AAAACCUUAAGUUAAAAAAACUAUUAACCUUCAAAGUUAAAAAUGAAAAUAAUAUUUUUAGGUUUUA
rnacentral:tRNA from 1 species